rnacentral:rRNA from 1 species
UACAGAGGUCUCAAGCGUUGUUCGGAUUCAUUGGGCGUAAAGGGUGUGUAGGUGGCGCGCUAAGUCGGGUGUGAAAUUUCGGAGCUUAACUUCGAAACUGCAUUCGAUACUGGCGUGCUUGAGGACUGGAGAGGAGACUGGAAUUCAUGGUGUAGCAGUGAAAUGCGUAGAGAUCAUGAGGAAGACCAGUGGCGAAGGCGGGUCUCUGGACAGUUCCUGACGCUGAGGCACGAAGGUCAGGGGAGCAAACGGG